CCUCCACACCUGCCCGCCUCCUGUCCCCCAAAAACAGUACUUCUGUCUUGUCAGAAUUCAACCUCAAUCUGUUUUGCACUUACUCAGAAUUGCCUUUGCUAUUCUUCUGUUAGUGACCCAGUUUAGAGAGAUCUUUCUAGAGUUCAUCACAACCUGUGUUUCACCACUCAUGAGUAAUUUUGUGUUAUCCGCAGUCCUGAUAGCUCCACUGCUUAUCCUUGGCUCCAGGUUUAUGAAGUUAAUAUUUAUGUAGUUAAAUAGCAUCGGCCUCAACGCACAUCCUUUGAGAACCCUACUGCUCCAUUCUUCUACCACAGUGACUAGUGAUGCAAAGAUUCUGUUUAGCCUCUGCAGUCUCCCUCUCCUUAUUCAGUACUUCUUUUACACCUUUCAUUAAGGUACUAUGUCUCCCUGGUUGGUUUCCUGCACCUGCUGCAUUUAAAUACAUGUUUUGCUCAUGCCUUUAGCAGUUUCCUCUUCAUUGCUUUAAUUGUUUGCUUUCUUGUUGCUUGAUCCCCCCCCCCAAAAAAACCCUUGUGUUCUUUAUUUUCCUCAUUUUAAAAGUGCAGGUAGCCAGUGUAGUACCCUUCAGUUGCUACUGGACUAGAGCUCCCAUCAGCCCCAGGCAGCAUGACCAAUGUUCAGGGGUGGUGGGUGUUGUAGUUAACAACAUUUGGAGGGCACCAAGUUGCCUUUUUCUUCACACUGUUGUUUAACCAUGAUAGUAGCCUGUUGGACUUGUAUGCCACAGGUUAGAAAGGGAAUGAACAUUUUAUCCGAGUUUCUAUUACAGUGGUUUUAAACAAACUCCAAGGUUACUGAAGGGAUUUGGCCAUCCUUUCAACUUCCAUUUUAUGUUUUCAAUUCUGCCUGCUACGUAAGUCCUGAGGCGACAUCUAGCCAUUUUGAAAAACAGGUUGAAGACUAAAAUCACACACAAAGCAGGCAACUCGGGGCAGAGUUAAAAGGCAUAGCAGCUUCCCGGAGACGAGCACAAGCAAAGGCCUGGGAGCACAAAUGUGUUUUUAGAAGUUGCCAAAAUGGCAUUAACUUUGGCAUUUCCCUGAACUCAGAGGGCACGUGGUUCUACAACACGAACACUACCACAGGAAAUGUGAAACUACCCAGUUCCAGGAAUGUGAAUGUGGAGUUGUAGGUGUGCUUCCUCAUCCACAUUCUCACCCAGUCAUGCAGGACUAAAGACAGCUUGAGGUGAAAGUCUCUCCUAGUUGGCAAUGAAAUUUGCCAGCGUUACAAGACAAACCAGCAUUGGCUGGUUGCCUGGGCAAAUGGGGUUUAUUUUCUCUUUUCUUCCCCUUCCCCUUUCUGUUUCUCCCUCUAUCACAUGCAGGCUGCUCAGAGGGCAACGAAGUGCCUUUGUUUUCUCUCUUGUAUUUAGUCCUUUUGCUAAAUCUCACUUGGUGUGUGGUGCUGUGACAUCAUUAAGUGUGUAUAUUUGUUAGGUUGCUAUGCUCUCCUACAGGUUCCCAGAGCAUUUUCUGAUAGCAAACUGUGGCUAACUGCAUUGCUUUCUUCUUAGAAAAUGCUUCAUAGUCCAUUGCCCCAGAUAAUUGUUUACUUUCUAUUUAAAGAUGACACGACAAGGGUCUUGUGUUUGGGUUUCUAUAAUCUGGUGUAGCGUUCAUGGGACUUUACAACCUUUUGGAAAUUUGUAUUUCUGGUUUUGAAUGGGUCUGUAUCACCUUAAAAAUCAAACAAGUCAAGUACAUUGGAUGUCACAGAAAAGGGGCCUUGUAUUCCUCUAGUCCCUGUGAGGGCAGAAAGGGAGAACCAACAUUGGGUGCCUACUUCUUGCUGCUAUGGAAAUCACUGCAGGGUGUUGGGAGCAAACCAAGGGAAGAAUUGGAUCCAAAUCCUUUUUAGUCCCCUGACACCCUUUAAAUCUAGGGAGGAAACUGUCAGCCCCUAUAGCUGGCACAGUGAGAGUGCUCCUCCACCUUUUCUCUCACCUUGCUGGCAAGACCUAGCAGGAAAGUAGAUGUGAUAGUUUGUUUGCUUUCCAUUCUCCUUUUAAAAAAAGGAUUCCAGCCUCAUUGAAUUCAACGGGGCUUACAUCUCAAUAGGCAUGCAAGGGAUUUGAACUGUCAAUGUCUGAAUACAGAGGUUAUUCCCCCACCCCAGCUUUUCUGGAUUACCUGUCAUUUUGUUCCUGGCUGCUUCCUAUGCUGCUGCAACUUGAUUGGCUAACAGCUACAUAUGUUCCUUUUACUGGUGUGUCAGUUACAUGCUAGAGAUGUAUUAAUUUUUUUCCAGGGGAAUGAGGCAAAGGAGCCCUUUAUCACAUGGGACUGUGAGAGAGGAUUUAGGGCCUUUUUCCAUUAUCAUAAUUUAUCCUAAUGUGCCCAUUAAUUCUUUUCCAGAGGACUCUACACAGAAAAGGGAAAGACAAAGUAGGGAAAAGGCUAGUCCAUGGGGAUAACCAACAAGAUUCCCUCCAGACGUUGUUGAACUCCCAACUCCUAUCAGCCUCAGCCAGCGUGGCAGUGAUCAGUGAUGAAGGGAGCUGCAGCUCAACACCCAGAGGACACUACUCUGACUACCCCUGGAAUAGACAGUCUAGGGAAGACCAUGAGAGCAAGAGAGGGCCAGAGCUGUGAAGAAGGAAGGUAGGAGGCAAAUACCCAGCCUGCAGCAACCGUGAGCAAUAUUUUUCCUUACUAUUGUUAUUUAUAUUGCAUUAUCCAUGUACCUGGCAUUUCACAAAGGUGCUUUACAAUAGACAAAAGGGAAACAGAGGAAGUGGAAGGAUAUGAGAUUGUUUAACAUUUAAACUGAUGGUGCUACACAGUUGCUGCUGCUUAUUUCCCUUGUGGGUGGGCAACAGUUCACUGUUACUUCCUAAGGAUUUUUUUUUCUCUUCUAGAGAGGCUUGUACCCCACAGGCAAGAGGAAGGAUUAAAAACACAAAUGCAUGCUUUAUACUCCUUUUCCACACACCUUGAACAGGGUUAAGGAAGACCCUUUUUUGUGCUGACUUUUACUAUAAAAUGAAUGAAAGUCCAUAAAAAGGUUGGUCUGUUGAUAGUGUUUUGGAGGGGAAAACCCAAUACAGAAUCCAGUGAAGUCAUUGUGUGAGUGGAACAGCUUAACACUCGUGCAACUGAACUUUCCCUUCCUUCUCCUCUCCUAGAGGACUCCCUGCACCCUUUGAAAUCUGCUGGGGGAAACAUCAGAGCAGAUAUCAGGGGAUGUGGAGGGGAAGCAGCUGGAGGAGGAGAGGGAAGGGAAGUUCUGUGGCAUGAGUGGAGGUCAUUCAGUUUGUGCAGUGACCUUGUUGUAUACAAAUUUUACUCAGCCUUGCUUUUGACAAGAAAGGAAUUCUAGCACUCUUUCAAUGGAAGGAAGAGGUUGUUUUAAGUUACCUGCAAUAGGAGGUCCAGCGAGGACUGCAAGGCCAGCAAUGAAUGAGGCAUGUCCCAAAGCACUGUGGAAUCUGGAGGCUCCUACAAACUCUACCUGUUGAAGCAAUCAGUGUUAUUUAUAUGUUUUAUAAAUAUUUUCUACACAUUGUCCCCCAUUUUGAAAACAGUUUGCAUGUUCCCUUCAUUUGCAUGUUUAGAAAUACAUUUUUAAAGAUAAUAAUAAAAAUAAACCAUCUGCAAUUAAGCCAUAGGUGACCAAUCUCUGGCACAGCCAGUAGAGGCUUAUGUGAUGUGAUAGGCACAUGGGUCUUUCUCUGGCAUAGACUUGGGCGGGGGUGACAAACCUUUUCCAGCCAGAGGGCUACAUCCUGACCCUUCACAUACCCCAAGGUCUACUUUGACACCUGACUCCCUUAUGGUGAUGUCAGGUGACAACUUCAAAAGAGCUCACUGUCAGCCCCAAUGAGCUUCUUGGUGCCCACAGGGAGUCUCGCUUUUUUCAUUUGCAGAUUCUGUUUGGAUUCAAACUCCACCUACAGAUGGAGACUUUUCUGCCGCAGACAGGCAUAGCUAUCUACAAGGCCAGUCUAUAGAGGAAAAAUGUCCAUUUACAGUACAGGAAGUAUCAGAGCCAAGUAUCCACCACUGAAAAUGGCAAAGCCUACAGAAUAGGUCAUAAGUAAUGGGAAGGUUGUGGCAAGAGGACACAGCAGGACUAAUUUGUUGAUCUGCUUAAUUGAAAGGUAAGUGCCAUCCAUUAGAAUUUUGUAUUUCAUUACUACUAAUCACCAACAGUGAUGUCCUGGUAAUCUACCCAUGGGGGGGGGUCUCAGGAAUUUCCAGAUUGUUAUAUGCCAUUUGUGAAAUAUUUUAUGAACAAAUACUAAAAAUAUUUUCAAAGCCCUGGCUGUCUUUCCCCCUCCUUUCAUUUUACAACAAAGUAUACUGGCUGCAGUCUAGCAAACUUGUUUAUGUAGAAGGUUACAUGUAUAUAUGCAGCCAGUUUCUUUGUGUUUUGUUUUUUUGUUAAGAGAAAGUUUGCACAUUUGAAAUUAUGGCCAUUUGUAUCCCUGCUCAGUAACUAGCUUUCUUAAAACAGUCACUUAGUUGCAUGCAAUUGCUGGGUUAGGGCCCAAGUCUCCAACUCCUACGUCUCAAAAUUGCUUGCUGACAAGCACAUUUGCCACAGAUGUUCCUCCUUUCAUAUGCCACUCUUGGCCUUGGUUGGCAAAUUUCAGAUUGGAGGGAAGGGGAGUAUUUUGGGUGGGUGACUGGAUUUGGGCUUGGAAAGUCUACUUGCUGAUCCCUAUUAUGUAUCAUUGUCUUACAAUGGGAGACAAUGGCUUCAUUUAAUAAAGUCUUUUUAAUUAC